UACGGAGGGUGCAAACGUUGCUCGGAAUCAUUGGGCGUAAAGCGCACGUAGGCGGCCUGAUAAGUCGGGUGUGAAAGCCCUGGGCUCAACCCAGGAAGUGCACUCGAAACUGUCAGGCUUGAAUAUGGAAGAGGGUCGCGGAAUUCCCGGUGUAGAGGUGAAAUUCGUAGAUAUCGGGAGGAACACCGGUGGCGAAGGCGGCGACCUGGGUCGAUACUGACGCUGAGGUGCGAAAGCGUGGGGAGCAAACAGG
rnacentral:rRNA from 1 species